CUCGUAGGUGGCCAACUAAGUCAGACGUGAAAUCCCUCAGCUUAACUGGGGAACUGCGUCUGAUACUGGAUGGCUUGAGUUUGGGAGAGGGAUGCGGAAUUCCAGGUGUAGCGGUGAAAUGCGUAGAUAUCUGGAGGAACACCGGUGGCGAAGGCGGCAUCCUGGACCAAUACUGACACUGAGGAGCGAAAGCCAGGGAGCAAC
rnacentral:rRNA from 1 species